AGGGCUGUGGUUCAGUGGCAGGGCACCUGUUUUGCAUGCGAGAGGUCCCAUGCUCAAUCCCUGACAGCUCCA